AUUGAACGCUGGCGGCAGGCCUAACACAUGCAAGUCGAGCGCCGUAGCAAUACGGAGCGGCAGACGGGAGAGUAACACGUGGGAACGUACCCUUUGGUUCGGAACAACCCAGGGAAACUUGGGCUAAUACCGGAUAAGCCCUUACGGGGAAAGAUUCAUCGCCGAAGGAUCGGCCCGCGUCUGAUUAGCUAGUUGGUGGGGUAAUGGCCCACCAAGGCGACGGUCAGUAGCUGGUCUGAGAGGAUGAUCAGCCUCACUGGGACUGAGACACGGCCCAGACUCCUACGGGAGGCAGCAGUGGGGAAUAUUGGACAAUGGGCGCAAGCCUGAUCCAGCCAUGCCGCGUGGGUGAUGAAGGCCCUAGGGUUGUAAAGCCCUUUCGGCGGGGAAGAUAAUGACGGUACCCGCAGAAGAAGCCCCGGCUAACUUCGUGCCAGCCGCCGCCGUAACAC
rnacentral:rRNA from 1 species